UACGUAGGGUCCUAGCGUUGUCCGGAUUUAUUGGGCGUAAAGAGCUCGUAGGCGGUUCGGCAAGUCGGAUGUGAAAUCUCCACGCUUAACGUGGAGGGGCCAUUCGAAACUGCCGUGACUCGAGUCCGGUAGGGGAGUGUGGAAUUCCCGGUGUAGCGGUGAAAUGCGCAGAUAUCGGGAGGAACACCAGUAGCGAAGGCGGCAC
rnacentral:rRNA from 1 species